rnacentral:rRNA from 1 species
ACUCCUACGGGAGGCAGCAGUGGGGAAUAUUGCACGAAUGGGCGCAAGCCUGAUGCAGCCAUGCCGCGUGUAUGAAAGAAGGCCCUUCGGGUUGUAAAGUACUUUCAGCAGUGAGGAAGGUGGUAGUGUUAAAUAGCACUAUCAUUUGACGUUAGCUGCAGGAAGAAGCACCGGCUAACUCCGUGCCAGCAGCCGCGGUAAUACGGAGGGUGCGAGCGUUAAUCGGAAUUACUGGGCGUAAAGCGCAUGCAGGUGGUUUGUUAAGUCAGAUGUGAAAGCCCGGGGCUCAACCUCGGAAUUGCAUUUGAAACUGGCAGACUAGAGUACUGUAGAGGGGGGUAGAAUUUCAGGUGUAGCGGUGAAAUGCGUAGAGAUCUGAAGGAAUACCGGUGGCGAAAGGCGGCCCCCUGGACAGAUACUGACACUCAGAUGCGAAA